CCUACGGGAGGCAGCAGUCGGGAAUAUUGGGCAAUGGACGCAACUCUGACCCAGCAAUACCGCGUGAAGGAUGAAGGUUCUCGGAUUGUAAACUUCUGUUCUAAAGGACGAAAAAAAUGACGGUACUUUAUAAGUAAGCUCAGGCUAACUAUGUGCUAGAAGCCGCGGUGAUACAUAGGGGGCAAGCGUUGUCCGGAAUGACUGGGUGUAAAGGGUGUGUAGGUGGCUGAUUAAGUUAGAUGUGAAAGCCCGAAGCUCAACUUCGGAACUGCCUUUAAAACUGGUUGGCUUGAGUGUGGGAGAGGGUAGUGGAACUCCUAGUGUAGCGGUGGAAUGCGUAGAUAUUAGGAAGAACAUCAGAGGCGAAGGCGACUAACUGGAACAUUACUGACAGUGAAACACGAAAGCGUGGGGAGCAAACAGGAUUAGAUACCCGGGUAGUC
rnacentral:rRNA from 1 species